CNGGCUACAUUAGGCCUAUACACAGGCC
rnacentral:piRNA from 1 species